ensembl:lncRNA LSP1P5 LSP1 pseudogene 5
GGGGCGGUGCACAGCGCGGGCGCAGGCGCCGAGAGGCGCACGGGAGACCUCAGGCCCAGACUCCACUCCCCAGCUGUGAAAGGACUGCUGGCCAGACCCCCAAGCUAGCCCGCCAGGCCUCCAUAGAGCUGCCCAGCAUGGCUGCGUCCAGUACCAAGAGUUGGUGGGAGACGGGUGAAGUACAGGCUCAGUCUGCGGCCAAGACUCCAUCCUGCAAGCCAGAGCAACCUGGGAGGCUGAGCUGAAGAUGGAAGAGCCUGUCUGCGUGUCUCCCCAGUGACUAGUGAGGCGGCUUUUCCUCCCGAAGCUGGACCUUACAUCAGUGAGAAAUAAACUUCCAUUGUGCUAAGCCA